AUAUUGCACAAUGGGCGCAAGCCUGAUGCAGCCAUGCCGCGUGUGUGAAGAAGGCCUUCGGGUUGUAAAGCACUUUCAGUUAGGAGGAAAGGGUAGUAGUUAAUACCUGCUAGCUGUGACGUUACUGACAGAAGAAGCACCGGCUAACUCCGUGCCAGCAGCCGCGGUACUACGGAGGGUGCGAGCGUUCAUCGGAAUUACUGGGCGUAAAGCGUACGCAGGCGGUUUGUUAAGCGAGAUGUGAAAGCCCCGGGCUCAACCUGGGAACUGCAUUUCGAACUGGCAAACUAGAGUGUGAUAGAGGGUGGUAGAAUUUCAGGUGUAGCGGUGAAAUGCGUAGAGAUCUGAAGGAAUACCGAUGGCGAAGGCAGCCACCUGGGUCAACACUGACGCUCAUGUACGAAAGCGUGGGGAGCAAACGG
rnacentral:rRNA from 1 species